rnacentral:rRNA from 1 species
AUUGAACGCUGGCGGCAGGCCUAACACAUGCAAGUCGAACGAGUGGCGGACGGGUGAGUAAUGUCUGGGAAACUGCCUGAUGGAGGGGGAUAACUACUGGAAACGGUAGCUAAUACCGCAUACCAUCAGAUGUGCCCAGAUGGGAUUAGCUAGUUGGUUGGGUAACGGCUCACCAAGGCGACGAUCCCUAGCUGGUCUGAGAGGAUGACCAGGCACACUGGAACUGAGACAAGGUCCAGACCACUAUGGGAGGGAGCAGUGGGGAAUAGUGCACAAGUGGCGGAAGUCUGAUGCAGCCAUGCCGCGUGGAUGGAGAAGGCCUUCCGGUUGUAAAGUAAUUUAAGCGGGGAGGCGUUACCCGCAGAAGAAGCACCGGCUAACUCCGUGCCAGCAGCCGCGGUAAUAC